rnacentral:rRNA from 1 species
UACGUAGGUGGCAAGCGUUAUCCGGAUUUACUGGGUGUAAAGGGCGUGUAGGCGGGAUGUCAAGUCAGGUGUGAAAUUCCAGGGCUCAACCCUGGACGUGCACUUGAAACUGAUGUUCUUGAGUGAUGGAGAGGCAAGCGGAAUUCCGUGUGUAGCGGUGAAAUGCGUAGAUAUACGGAGGAACACCAGUGGCGAAGGCGGCUUGCUGGACAUUAACUGACGCUAAGGCGCGAAAGCGUGGGGAGCAAACAGGAUUAGAUA